CCCAUGGCCAUUGCCAGUCGUCCUGACUUAUGUCUUACCUCUGGACUCAGAUGACUCUGGAAGAGAGAAUGACUCUGAUGACUCUGUACAGCUCCACCUCACUUAAACCCAACUCAUUGCAGAUCAAGACAUUGUCCUCCUGCUGUCAUUGUUCUUCUUCUUCCAGAAUAAGGGACAAACAAAAAUUUGCUGAAAGCUUUAUUGGUGAUGACAGCUGACAGACAUUCCUUACAACAUCAUGGACUUGGAAAGUGGUUCACAUAUUUUGGCACUUCAUUUUCAAGAGGAACUGGAGUAAGUUCCUGCCAACAUUCCACAAAAUUACACCUUUCAAGGGCUUUUUUGAUGUCUCCACUCCUUUGCUCCAAUAUUCCUGGAAAAUCCUCGAGGUAUUCUACAUCUGUUCUUCCCUUUUGUCUUCUUUUGACAUCAUCAAGGCAUAAAAAACCUACUCCCAGACCUGUUGCCUAGUUAAACUCCUUCUGUGACCCCUGAUAGAGUUCAGAGGGGUCAUAUGUGUCAUCUCUCCAGGCUUCAGACUGGAACCAAGAGCCCACUACACUCACAGCAUCAGAGCCACACAGAUGCUGCUGCUGCUGCUUCUGAACUUCCUCUUCAGGCCACAACCCCUCCUCACUCAGUCCUGGAUCUGCUACCCAGAAGCGGAGAGUGAGCAGCAGACCUGGCACUUGGCAGCUAUUUCUGCACCCUUCAUAAGAUGAAAUGGAAUGUCUACAACCACAAUUUGAGCUCAGUCUUGAAGGAAGCCUGAUGAGAGAAAAAAGCCGUCUAUGAAAUAAGGGUGAAAAGGCACAGAACCACAGACUGAAAAUAUGGCAUCCUAGACUUCAAGUUGAAAGGGACUUUUCAGGUCAUCUGGUUGGUUGAAUUCCCUCAUUUUAGGAACAAGGACCUGAAGCUCUGUGACAUUAAGUGACUUGCCCAAGGUCACACUCAGUAGCAGGGCCUGGAUUUAAACUUGGGUCUUCUGACUCCCAAAUUUGCACUCUGUACACUCUCUCUGUAGCUAUCUCAGUGUAACAAAGACAGACAACAUAGACCUACCUCACUGAUGCCAAAUUUUCAAAUGAAAUCCAUACAGAGUGAUCUAUCUAGAAAAUGAUUCACUAGGACUAGGUUAGAUUCAUAAAGAUGGUUAACAUUAGGAAAGCAAUAAGCAUAAUCACAGAAGCAGCCAAGAUAACAAAAAACCCACCCAAAUACCACAAGAACUUCAGAAAAUAAAACCUUUGCUAAAGACCUAGCUCGCAUUGUUGGGAGUCGAGACACUGGAAGACAUUUUAGUGACAAGAGAAAUAAAGCAAACAUGUGCCUUUCCUCCAUUCUUAUGACAUCAUUCUACAAACUCUAGCUGUAGGGAUAAAACGAGAGCAAAGGUGGACUCAAACCACCAGUGACCAGAGAAGGUGACCAAGUCCAGGGAGGCUCAAAGCUGUUCUCCCAUAUGUCAAUCCCUAGAGUGUGCUGGUUUAAUGAGAAUGUUCACAUCAAAAACCAACUAUUUCAGGGAGCCAAGAGAAAGUCUUUAGCUACCAAGGAACCAAGUAGCCCAGAAUUGUGGCAAAAGGAUUAGAAAACUGAAGAAUUAAGGCGGUUAAAAAAGAAAGGAAGAAGAAAAUUCACCAUUUUAGGUUAAAAGCAACAUGUCCACAUCAUUAGGAUCAAACAAAGAGAGGUGAGAGCUUGCUAGUACACAGAUGAGAAGACACUUAGUCAGGGUGAAAGUAGAGAGAAUGUGAGAUAUACAAGUCCCUAUUCCCUCCAGGAGCAAACAUGAAAUCCUCUGCUUGGCAUUCAAAGCCCUUCCUAACCCAGCCCUCAUAUACUUUUCCAGUCUUCUUACACCUUAUUCCCCAAUAUGUACUCUUUGAUCCUGGAUGUUGGAUGAACAAGACCCUCCAUCUCUCAGCUCUGGCUUCCUCUAAGUGCACCAUGGGUGGAGUUGUGAACUGAUCCAACCAUUUCGGAGAGCAAUUUGAAAUUAUGGCCGAAGGUCUAUAAAACUAUGCAAAGCCUUUGCCCCUAGCAAUAACACCACUAAGUCUGUAUCCUAAAGACAUCAAAAGGGAAAAUAGCCUAUUUGUACAAAAACAUUUACAGUACCUCUUUUUGUGGUGGCCAAUAAUUGGAAAUUAGAGGAUGUCCAUCAGUUUGGGAAAUGGUUAAACAAGCUAUGGUAUAUGAUUGUGAUGGAAUAUUAUUGUGCUAUAGGAAAUGACAAGCAGGAGGAUUUCAGAAAAACCUGGAUUUACUUACAUGAA